rnacentral:rRNA from 1 species
UACGGAGGUGGCAAGCGUUGCUCGGAAUCACUGGGCGUAAAGGGCGCGUAGGCGGGGAGGUAAGUCGGGUGUGAAAUUCCUCGGCCCAACCGAGGAACGGCGCUCGAGACUGCUUCUCUUGAGUCCCGGAGAGGAAGGUGGAAUUCCCGGUGUAGCGGUGAAAUGUGUAGAGAUCGGGAGGAACACCGGUGGCGAAGGCGGCCUUCUGGACGGUGACUGACGCUGAGGCGCGAAAGCGUGGGGAGCAAACGGG